rfam:Toxocara canis scaffold655, whole genome shotgun sequence.
GCCGUAGUAGCUCAGCGGCAGAGCCCCCGCUUCGCAUGCGGGGAGACCUGGGUUCGAUUCCCAGCUGCCUCC